GGAGGACACAAUUUACAGAUUGUAUAGGAUUUAAACUUGUAAUGAGUAAAAGUGUCACUGCUUGAAUUUUUUCAGAGUCAGGAAGCUCAUCAUAUUCUGUAGCAGACUAUACUAUUUUUUAGACAUUUUCAAUAGUUAAAAACUCAUUUUUAUAAAGAAAACAAUUGGCCUUUUAAUGUAAUUUGAACUUUGUGUUUUUUGACUAACAUUCAAUGUUUCUAAUUGUCAUAAGGAAUUUUUCAAGUGAUUACCACUUCGUUUAUUUUCAUGUUAAAUACUCCAUUUCUUUUAACCAAAGUGGGUAGUUCAUAGAGCCCAAUUAAUUUUAAUAAUUUAUGUUAUUUAAUUUUACUAAUUUAAUUUAAUAUAAACAACUAUUAGAAUCAUCUUCUGCUAUGGUUUGAACAUAUCCUAUCUAAAAUGUAGUUGUUGCUAAUAUAAUGAUAUUAAUGUGUGGGCCCUUUAAGAGGGAUUAGACCAUGAUGACUUCUUUCACAUGAAUGGGAUUAAGGCCCUUAUAAAAGAGGCUUUACACAGUGUUUGACUUUCUUACCCUUCCACCAUCUUCCUUAUGAGGGCACAAUGUUGCUUCCCGCUGGAAGACACAGCAAUAAGGCACUAUUGUGGAAGCUCAGAAAGCAACUCAUCACCCAGCCUCACCAGCCAGCAUCUUGAUUUUGGAGAACGUUGACCCAAAGUCUUAUUUCCAAGGGGAGAGAUGCUUUCACCAGGAGAUUCAACAAUGAUUUCACUGAACUGGACAUUAAGGCUGCUGUCCAGGUGCUUUGAAGUCCUUAUGCCUCUGAAUCAAGAGGGAGAAAAGGCGGUUACUCUGCUGGCUGGAGCGAGUGAUCCUGAAUACCAAGGGAAAAUUGGAUGACUACUCCACAAUAAGGAAGAAUACAGCAGAUCCCUUACACCAUCUCUUAGUAUUACUAUGUCCCCUGUGAUUAAGGUCAGUGGAAAAUUAAAAGAACCCAUUCCAGUCAGAACUAAUAGUCCAGACUCUUCAGGAAUGAGAGCUUGUGUCACUCCACCAAGCAGAAAAUACAACCAGCUAAGGUGCUUGCUGAAGGUAAAGGGAACACAAAACAGGAGGUGCAAAAAAGUAGUUAUAAAUACCAGCCAUGACAACAUGACCAGCUACAGAAAUGAAGACUAUAAUUGUUAUAAACAUAUUCAACACGUUUGUUGCGAAUUUUGA
rnacentral:lncRNA from 1 species